rnacentral:rRNA from 1 species
UACGUAGGGCGCAAGCGUGUCCGGAAUUAUUGGGCGUAAAGAGCUCGUAGGCGGUUUGUCGCGUCUGCUGUGAAAACCUAGGCUCAACCUUGGGCUUGCAGUGGGUACGGGCAGACUAGAGUGCGGUAGGGGUGACUGGAAUUCCUGGUGUAGCGGUGGAAUGCGCAGAUAUCAGGAGGAACACCAGUGGCGAAGGCGGCCGCUGGGCCGACCCUGACGCUGAGGCGCGAAAGCCAGGGGAGCGAACGGA